rnacentral:tRNA from 1 species
GUUGCUUUGGCAGAAUUAUGCAUUGGACUUAGGAUCCAAAAAUGUGGGUAUAAAUCCCAUAGGUAAUA